AUUACUUCUUAGCCUUUUGGCUGAGAUAAGUGUAGUAUCGGUUCUUACCACCUAAACAUCUGAUGCAUCCUCUAUCCAAGGACAACAUAUUAAAUGGAUUUUUGGAGCAAGGAGAUGGAACAGGAGCUUGCUCCAUUCACUCCAUGCAUUGACCUGGUAUUGCAGUACUUCCGGGAAUGGUGCACCCCCU